rnacentral:lncRNA from 1 species
GUCUCAUGUUGAUGAGCCCUGGAGUUUAUCUCUCUUAAUAGUCCCCAUAGACUCCUAAAAGAGAUCUCGCAUGAGUAACUAUCAUGUAUGCAAUGAAAUAUACGAGACCUGAUGUUGAUCAGUCAUAUUCUGGAGAAGAUGAGUCAGUGAAAAACAUCUUAAAGUACUUAACCAGCACUAAGGAUGUGAUCAUAUUCAUGGUGGGUCUAAAUUAAAACUCGAGGGCUUAACAGACUCAAGUUUUUCAGACAGAUCAAGGCGACAGAAAAUCCACUUUAAGGUAAAG